rnacentral:rRNA from 1 species
UAAGACGUAGGGGGCCAGCGUUGUUCGGAAUUACUGGGUGUAAAGGGUUCGUAGGCGGUGCGGCAAGUUGGGAGUGAAAUCUCCAGGCUUAACUUGGAGACGGCUUCCAAAACUGCCGUGCUCGAGUGCGGGAGAGGCCAGUGGAAUUGCAGGUGUAGCGGUGAAAUGCGUAGAUAUCUGCAGGAACACCCGUGGCGAAGGCGGCUGGCUGGACCGCAACUGACGCUGAGGAACGAAAGCUAGGGGAGCAAACAGGAUUAGAUACCCUGGUAGUCCUAGCCCUAAACCAUCAGGACUUGGGGUGGCCCGCGUAGGCGGGUCGUCCCGUAGCUAACGCGUUAAGUCCUGCGCCUGGGGAGUACGGUCGCAAGACUGAAACUCAAAGGAAUUGACGGGGGCCCGCACAAGCGGUGGAACAUGUGGUUCAAUUCGACGCAACGCGAAGAACCUUACCUGGGCUCGAAGUGCCGGCGACCAUCUUGAGAAAUCUAGACUUCCCGCAAGGGACGCCGGUAGAGGUGCUGCAUGGCUGUCGUCAGCUCGUGCCGUGAGGUGUUGGGUUAAGUCCCGCAACGAGCGCAACCCUUACGCGUAGUUGCCACCCCGCAAGGGGGGAACUCUACGUGGACUGCUCCGGAUAACGGAGAGGAAGGUGGGGAUGACGUCAAGUCAGCACGGCCUUUAUGUCCAGGGCUACACACGUGUUACAAUGCGCGGCACAGAACGCUGCAAACCCGCGAGGGGGAGCUAAUCGGAAAAAACCGCGCUCAGUUCGGAUUGCAGUCUGCAACUCGACUGCAUGAAGCUGGAAUCGCUAGUAAUGGCGCAUCAGAUCGGCGCCGUGAAUACGUUCCCGGGCCUUGUACACACCGCCCGUCACAUCACGAAAGUGAGCUGUACUAGAAGUCGCCGUGCUAACCGCAAGGAGGCAGGCGCCCAAGGUAUGGCCCAUGAUUGGGGCGA